rfam:Triticum aestivum genome assembly, contig: Triticum_aestivum_CS42_TGACv1_scaffold_405552_5BL
UAAGUACUCCCUCCGUUCGGAAUUACUUGUCGCAGAAAUGAAUGUAUCUAGAUGUAUUUUGGUUCUAGAUACAUCCAUUUUUAAGACAAGUAAUUCCGAACAGAGGAAGUAUUUA